rnacentral:rRNA from 1 species
GGACUACAAGGGUAUCUAAUCCCGUUUGCUCCCCACGCUUUCGUGCCUUAGUGUCAGUAAUGAGCCAGUAGACUGCUUACGCCAUUGGUGUUCCUCCCUAUAUCUACGGAUUUCACUCCUACACAGAGAAUUCCAUCUACCUCUCUCAUACUCUAGCUUAGCAGUUUAGAUAAUGUAUGUAUGGUUGAGCCACACGCUUUCACUAUCUACUUGCCAUGCCACCUACGCAACUCUUUACGCCCAGUAAUUCCGGAUAACGCUUGGACCCUACGUAUUACCGCGGCUGCUGGCAC